UAUUGCCCUAAAGUGUUGAAAAAGUUACUUCAUGCAAUCGAGGUGGCACUUUCAGCUGAAGAUGGUGUGAUGAUAGGAUGUGGCCCACACAGGC
rnacentral:lncRNA from 1 species